rnacentral:rRNA from 1 species
CCUACGGGUGGCUGCAGUAGGGAAUAUUGCUCAAUGGGGGAAACCCUGACGCAGCAACGCCGCGUGGAGGAUGAAGGUUUUAGGAUUGUAAACUCCUUUUGUUAGAGAAGAUUGUGCCGUUAUCUAACGAAUAAGCACCGGAUAACUCCGUGACAGCAGCCGCGGUAUUACGGAGGGUGCAAGCGGUACUCGGAAUCACUGGGCGUAAAGUGUGCGUAGGCGGGGUGUUAAGUCAGAGGUGAAAUCCUGGAGCUUAACGACAGAACUGCCUUUGAAACUGGUACUCUGGAGUGUGGGAGAGGUAGGUGGAAUUCUAGGUGUAGGGGUGAAAUCCGUAGAGAGCAAGAGGAAUACUCAUUGCGAAGGCGACCAGCUGGAACAUUACUGACGCUGAUGAACGAAAGCGUGGGGAGCAAACAGGAUUAGAUACCCGGGUAGUC